UUUUGUUAGAGUCUUGAUAGCUUAAUUUUGGUCAAUUCCUUCCUUUUGUACAUAGGAAUGAAUAUAUAGCACCAUCAGCUUUGAAGCAUUGUCAAAUAUUUAUAUUAUCCUCAGUAUAUAUGAGAAAGAUUUGUAGUCUGGUAGCCACCUUGAUAAGAUUUAAAUUUAGGGCGUGUUUAGAUACAAGUUAAACCUUAAGUGAAAAUGUACCUUUUUCUCAAUCUAUAGAAAAAAAAUUCGUUCACUUAAGUCUCAAAGUGUCUCAAAGUACUAAUGUUAAUGAAUAUCCAAACAUAUCCUUAAUGAAUGUAAACCUUGUCUAGCAGAACCGAACUAGUUGAAACAUGUAGAAUAACAUAGAAGGACAUUUUUAAGUGAGUGUUUUUAAACUUUAAAUUAGUAAAAUAAGUUUUAAACCAGCAUGUUUUGAUAUCAAUUAGCACUGUGUAAAGUGUAAACAUUCAUAAUACUUAUUUUGUUUUGCGACAUAAAGUGAACAAAACUCUUCAUAUAAAUUAUAAUUGUAGCUCGUUCACAUUACACAUUGGUAUGCGAACACAUAUAUUAAUCUCACUUCACAAUGGCUCAAUUGCACAAAUGAAAAGAUACUGAGUUCAUUCUUAGUAAUGAUCCAUUUAUGGUAAUAAAAUACUAUUCCCUACAUUUACUCUGAGCCAAGCUCCAAAGCCAAAUUAAGACUCGCAUCACAAUAAAAUAGCCCAAACUUCAUAGUUAAAUUAAACGGUAGACAACCAUUUUUUAUUAAUUUGCCAAAAAUAAAAAGCUGCCUAGAUUGGAAAAAUCUCAAAUCCAAACCAAGACCAACAUCCCAAUAAAACAUCUCAUACUCAUUUGUAAUCAAAACAAUGGCCCUGUAUUAGACUGUAAAUAAACACCAUUGAGUAGAAGAAGUUUGUACUUGUAGGCAUAAUACUUACACGUUAUGCAAGCAGAGUGCAGGGACUUACAUGUUCCAUUCAAAAGAAAAGGGAGGAAAAAACUAAACCGAUGGUACUCCUCAGAUUUGAAUUGGUGGUGGUGACACAUAAUACAAAGCACGACAACUCCAGAAGCUACAAUUUGUAAUUUCUCCCCAGAGGUGAUUAUGAAGUUUUCCACCGCAGAACCAAACACGCUAUAAAUUAGAUCUUGCCACGGGGACCGAGCUUUGGUGGAAGUUGUGGUCCUUUCUUGAUUGGUGGUAUGUCACCUGAAGCUGUGGCACUGUAGUAUGCAAGGGUGAAACCACCUCCCAGGAUCAAAAACUUGAGUAACAAUCCCCUCUUUGUGAAUGGGGCAGCAAAUGUCUUGAAGAACUUGCUCUGCAAUACAUACGAACGAAAGACAGAUCAAGUUUCUGCAUUUUCAAUCAUUUCUGGUACAGCAUUGACAAAAUCUUUACUCAAUUACCUAAAGGCUUAAGCCGAAGGAAUACAUAUUAGAUCAACAAGUUCUCUGCACAUUCCAAGUCUACUCAUCGAUAUCACUUAGUGUUCAUUAGUAUGUGAAUGAGUAAGUAAUCUAAAUUAAUCUUAGAACCAGGGAGCAAUGCUGGUUUGAUAGUCCGUUGCAUAUAUAGCCUCUUCUAGUUAAGGACAUAGAAAUAUAUGAACCAUGAGGAAAAUAUCUCUCCCCAUAUUUCAAAAAAUUCAAGUUGUCUAGAAAUAUAUGAACCAUGCCCUUGUAUUAUAACAUUUCUAACAUGUUGGACCAAUUGUCAUGCAUAGAAGCAACUAAUACUAUGUUUGGAUUAGCUUCUCAUUCAAUAAAAUCAAUUCUGACUUUCGAAAAUGUCUUUCCCUAAUUUUGGUAUCAGAAUUAAGUGCUAAAGAAUUUUCGAACAUCUACUUACACCACAUCGCGCCAUUGAAGAACAAGAGUGUAGAGUGAGAAGCUUGGUCUUCAAAAUCAAAAGCACCAUCAGACCACUUACCCAUAAUGGUGUUUUGUUAGAGUCUUGAUAGCUUAAUUUUGGUCAAUUCCUUCCUUUUGUACAUAGGAAUGAAUAUAUAGCACCAUCAGCUUUGAAGCAUUGUCAAAUAUUUAUAUUAUCCUCAGUAUAUAUGAGAAAGAUUUGUAGUCUGGUAGCCACCUUGAUAAGAUUUAAAUUUAGGGCGUGUUUAGAUACAAGUUAAACCUUAAGUGAAAAUGUACCUUUUUCUCAAUCUAUAGAAAAAAAAUUCGUUCACUUAAGUCUCAAAGUGUCUCAAAGUACUAAUGUUAAUGAAUAUCCAAACAUAUCCUUAAUGAAUGUAAACCUUGUCUAGC
rnacentral:lncRNA from 1 species